rnacentral:rRNA from 1 species
GACGAACGCUGGCGGCGUGCCUAAUACAUGCAAGUCGAGCGCUGAAGGUUGGUUCUUGUACCAACUGGAUGAGCAGCAGACGGGUGAUUCACGCGUGUGGAAUCUGCCUUUGAGCGGGGGAUAACAUUACGAAACGAAUUCUAAUACCGUAUAAAAACUUGAAACACAAGGUUCAAGUUUGAAAGAUGCAAUUGCAUCACUCAAAGAUGAUCCCGCGUUUGAUUAGCUAGUUGGUGAGGUAAAGGCUAACCAAGGCGAAGGUACAUAGCCGACCUGAUAGGGUGAGCGGCCAAAAUGGGAAUGGGAAACGGCCCAAAAACCUAAGGGAGGCAGCAGGAGGGAAACUUCGGCAAAGGAAGAAAGUCUGAACGAGCAACGCCGGGGGAGUGAAGAAGGGUGUCGGGUCGGAAAAGUCUGUUGGGAGGGAAGAAAGUUGGUGAGAGUGGAAAGCUCAUAAAGUGACGGUAACUACAGAGAAAGGAACGGCUAACUACGUG